UUUAUGGAGAGUUUGAUCCUGGCUCAGGAUGAACGCUGGCGGCGUGCCUAAUACAUGCAAGUCGAGCGAACGGACGAGAAGCUUGCUUCUCUGAUGUUAGCGGCGGACGGGUGAGUAACACGUGGAUAACCUACCUAUAAGACUGGGAUAACUUCGGGAAACCGGAGCUAAUACCGGAUAAUAUUUUGAACCGCAUGGUUCAAAAGUGAAAGACGGUCUUGCUGUCACUUAUAGAUGGAUCCGCGCUGCAUUAGCUAGUUGGUAAGGUAACGGCUUACCAAGGCAACGAUGCAUAGCCGACCUGAGAGGGUGAUCGGCCACACUGGAACUGAGACACGGUCCAGACUCCUACGGGAGGCAGCAGUAGGGAAUCUUCCGCAAUGGGCGAAAGCCUGACGGAGCAACGCCGCGUGAGUGAUGAAGGUCUUCGGAUCGUAAAACUCUGUUAUUAGGGAAGAACAUAUGUGUAAGUAACUGUGCACAUCUUGACGGUACCUAAUCAGAAAGCCACGGCUAACUACGUGCCAGCAGCCGCGGUAAUACGUAGGUGGCAAGCGUUAUCCGGAAUUAUUGGGCGUAAAGCGCGCGUAGGCGGUUUUUUAAGUCUGAUGUGAAAGCCCACGGCUCAACCGUGGAGAGUCAUUGGAAACUGGAAAACUUGAGUGCAGAAGAGGAAAGUGGAAUUCCAUGUGUAGCGGUGAAAUGCGCAGAGAUAUGGAGGAACACCAGUGGCGAAGGCGACUUUCUGGUCUGUAACUGACGCUGAUGUGCGAAAGCGUGGGGAUCAAACAGGAUUAGAUACCCUGGUAGUCCACGCCGUAAACGAUGAGUGCUAAGUGUUAGGGGGUUUCCGCCCCUUAGUGCUGCAGCUAACGCAUUAAGCACUCCGCCUGGGGAGUACGACCGCAAGGUUGAAACUCAAAGGAAUUGACGGGGACCCGCACAAGCGGUGGAGCAUGUGGUUUAAUUCGAAGCAACGCGAAGAACCUUACCAAAUCUUGACAUCCUUUGACAACUCUAGAGAUAGAGCCUUCCCCUUCGGGGGACAAAGUGACAGGUGGUGCAUGGUUGUCGUCAGCUCGUGUCGUGAGAUGUUGGGUUAAGUCCCGCAACGAGCGCAACCCUUAAGCUUAGUUGCCAUCAUUAAGUUGGGCACUCUAAGUUGACUGCCGGUGACAAACCGGAGGAAGGUGGGGAUGACGUCAAAUCAUCAUGCCCCUUAUGAUUUGGGCUACACACGUGCUACAAUGGACAAUACAAAGGGCAGCGAAACCGCGAGGUCAAGCAAAUCCCAUAAAGUUGUUCUCAGUUCGGAUUGUAGUCUGCAACUCGACUACAUGAAGCUGGAAUCGCUAGUAAUCGUAGAUCAGCAUGCUACGGUGAAUACGUUCCCGGGUCUUGUACACACCGCCCGUCACACCACGAGAGUUUGUAACACCCGAAGCCGGUGGAGUAACCUUUUAGGAGCUAGCCGUCGAAGGUGGGACAAAUGAUUGGGGUGAAGUCGUAACAAGGUAGCCGUAUCGGAAGGUGCGGCUGGAUCACCUCCUUU
rnacentral:rRNA from 1 species